rnacentral:rRNA from 1 species
AUACGGUGAAAAAAGAAAUUUGCCUAAAGAGAAGCUCGCGUCUGAUUAGCUAGUUGGUAGGGUAAAAGCCUACCAAGGCGACGAUCAGUAGCUGGUCUGAGAGGACGAUCAGCCACACUGGAACUGAGAUACGGUCCAGACUCCUACGGGAGGCAGCAGUGAGGAAUUUUCUGCAAUGGGCGAAAGCCUGACAGAGCAAUACCGCGUGAGGGAUGAAAGCCUAUGGGUUGUAAACCUCUUUUCUCAAGGAGGAAGAUAUGACGUUACUUGAGGAAUAAGCAUUGGCUAACCCUGUGCCAGCAGCCGCGGUAAUACAGGGGAUGCAAGUGUUAUCCGGAUUUAUUGGGCGUAAAGCGUCUGCAGGUUGAUAUUUAAGUCUUUUGUUAAACCUUCGGGCUUAACCUGAAUUCUGCAAAAGAAACUAUUUAUCUUGAGUAUGGUAGAGGUAAUUCCAGUGGAGCGGKGAAAUGCG